rnacentral:rRNA from 1 species
UCAUAUGCUUGUCUCAAAGAUUAAGCCAUGCAUGUCUAAGUACAUGCCGAAAUAAGGCGAAACCGCGAAUGGCUCAUUAAAUCAGUUAUGGUUCCUUAGAUCGUUUCUUCCUACUUGGAUAACUGUGGCAAUUCUAGAGCUAAUACAUGCAGUGAGCCUGAAGCCCUUUGGGCGACGGGUGCUUUUAUUAGACCAAGAUCGAUCGGGUUUCGGCCCGUAUUGUGUGGUGACUCUGGAUAACUUUGUGCUGAUCGCAUGGCCACGAGCCGGCGACGUUUCUUUCAAGUGUCUGCCUUAUCAACUUUCGAUGGUAGGUUACUUGCUUACCAUGGUUGUUACGGGUAACGGAGAAUCAGGGUUCGAUUCCGGAGAGGGAGCCUGAGAAACGGCUACCACAUCCAAGGAAGGCAGCAGGCGCGCAAAUUACCCACUCCCGGCACGGGGAGGUAGUGACGAAAAAUAACAAUACGGGACUCUUUUGAGGCCCCGUAAUUGAAAUGAGUACACUCUAAAUCCUUUAACGAGGAUCAAUUGGAGGGCAAGUCUGGUGCCAGCAGCCGCGGUAAUUCCAGCUCCAAUAGCGUAUACUAAAGCUGCUGCGGUUAAAAAGCUCGUAGUUGGAUCUCAGUUCCAGACGAGUAGUGCAUCUACCCGAUGCGACGGCUCGGACUGAACAUCAUGCCGGUCCUUUCUUGGUGCACUUCAUUGUGUGCCUCGAGAAGGCCGGUGCUUUUACUUUGAAAAAAUUAGAGUGCUCAACGCAGGCGAGUCGCCUGAAUAAACUUGCAUGGAAUAAUAGAACAAGACCUCGUUUCUGUUCUGUUGGUUUUUGGAAUACGAGGUAAUGAUUAAGAGGGACAGACGGGGGCAUUCGUAUUGCGGCGCUAGAGGUGAAAUUCUUGGACCGUCGCAAGACGAACUACUGCGAAAGCAUUUGCCAAGAAUGUUUUCUUUGAUCAAGAACGAAAGUCAGAGGUUCGAAGGCGAUCAGAUACCGCCCUAGUUCUGACCAUAAACGAUGCCAACCAGCGAUCCGCCUGAGUUACUCAAAUGACUCGGCGGGCAGCUUCCGGGAAACCAAAGUAUUUGGGUUCCGGGGGAAGUAUGGUUGCAAAGCUGAAACUUAAAGGAAUUGACGGAAGGGCACCACCAGGAGUGGAGCCUGCGGCUUAAUUUGACUCAACACGGGAAAACUUACCCGGCCCGGACACUGGGAGGAUUGACAGAUUGAGAGCUCUUUCUUGAUUCGGUGGAUGGUGGUGCAUGGCCGUUCUUAGUUGGUGGAGCGAUUUGUCUGGUUAAUUCCGAUAACGAACGAGACUCUAGCCUAUUAAAUAGGUGCGGGGUUCCCAGCACCUUACAACCUUCUUAGAGGGACAAGCGGCUCCUAGCCGCACGAAACAGAGCAAUAACAGGUCUGUGAUGCCCUUAGAUGUCCGGGGCCGCACGCGCGCUACACUGAAGGAAGCAGCGUGUCUUUAUCCCUGUCUGAAAAGACUGGGUAACCCGUGGAACUUCUUUCGUGAUUGGGAUAGGGGCUUGCAAUUGUUCCCCUUGAACGAGGAAUUCCCAGUAAGCGCGAGUCAUAAGCUCGCGUUGAUUACGUCCCUGCCCUUUGUACACACCGCCCGUCGCUACUACCGAUUGAAUGAUUUAGUGAGGUCUUCGGACCGAUGUCCGGCGCGGCCUUUCGGUUGCGCCGGUCUGUUGGAAAGAUGACCAAACUUGAUCAUUUAGAGGAAGUAAAAGUCGUAACAAGGUUUCCGU